UACGUAGGGGCAAGCGUUUGUCCGGAUUAUUGGGCGUAAAGAGCGUGUAGGCGGUUUUACAGGUCCGCUGUGAAAACUCGAGGCUCAACCUCGAGCUGUCGGUGGAAACCGUAAGGCUAGAGUCCGGGAAGAGGAGAGGUGGAAUUCCUGGUGUAGCGGUGAAAUGCGCAGAUAUCAGGAGGAACACCGGUGGCGAAGGCGGGUCUCUGGGCCGUAAACUGACGCCUGA
rnacentral:rRNA from 1 species